rnacentral:rRNA from 1 species
AUUGAACGCUGGCGGCAGGCCUAACACAUGCAAGUCGAGCGGAUGAAGGGAGCUUGCUCCUGGAUUCAGCGGCGGGCGGGUGAGUAAUGCCUAGGAAUCUGCCUGGUAGUGGGGGAUAACGUCCGGAAACGGGCGCUAAUACCGCAUACGUCCUGAGGGAGAAAGUGGGGGAUCUUCGGACCUCACGCUAUCAGAUGAGCCUAGGUCGGAUUAGCUAGUUGGUGGGGUAAAGGCCUACCAAGGCGACGAUCCGUAACUGGUCCGAGAGGAUGAUCAGUCACACUGGAACUGAGACGCGGUCCAGACUCCUACGGGAGGCAGCAGUGGGGAAUAUUGGACAAUGGGCGAAAGCCUGAUCCAGCCAUGCCGCGUGUGUGAAGAAGGUCUUCGGAUUGUAAAGCACUUUAAGUUGGGAGGAAGGGCAGUAAGUUAAUACCUUGCUGUUUUGACGUUACCAACAGAAUAAGCACCGGCUAACUUCGUG